CCCCGUUAUUUCACUUUCACUCCACCGCGUGCAUGUGAAGUCACUAAUGUUGAAGAGGACAGUGCCGUUUCCGAUUGUGAUGAGGUGGACUCUCGCUCUCUCUCUCUCUCACACACAUAGUAACCUACACCCACUCACAGCACGCGCCCCGCGCACCGCUCCGCGCACUGCUCAUCUAUACACUCGCAUCGCUGUGCUACUGUCUUACAAAAGGCAAUAGGUGCGUAUCCUAAAAGGUGCUGUUUUGUUUGUUUUUACUGUUCUCAGCAAACGCCUUAUUCUGACAUCUUCUAGAGAGUUUGGCAGCACCUGCUCCUGUUUCUGGAGUCAACAAUUGCAAAGGAGACUUCUGAGAAAUAGUGACAAGACAGAGUGAGGAUGUGUGGGGUGGACCUGGAUCUAGACGAGGGGGGCUCAGGCGACGAGGAGAAGGAGCAGGAGGAGUUCUGGGUGGGUGAGAGGGUGAAGAUGCUGCCUCCUCCCACGGCCCACAGUGAGGGCAGCGCAUGGGGUAGCCGUCGGGGCAGUUGUGGCUGUGUGGCAUGCGGCGCGGGGCUGCUGCUGUGGAAUGUGGGUUUGGCCUUGGUGUGUGUCCUGGUCCUGGUGGCCGUGUUUGCCCUGGUCCUGCUGCCCGCCUCACUGCUGCUCUACGCCGGCUUCCUCUGCCACUCACGGUGUCCAGAAGACACUGGCAUUUUCAAGACGUCUUCAUUAGUGAUGGCUGGGAAGGAUGUACAAAUAUACAGAAUGUGAUUGACAGCCUAGGGAUUGUAUUGGCAGCUCUGGGCUGCUUCUUAUCUGAACAGUGAACAGCAGAGGGAAACUGGAAAAGAGUCUGUCACACACCCCAGUCCUAGAUUCCCCCUCUCCUAUCUGCCGUUACCUCGACGACAACAGUUGCUCCGCCCUCAUCAUCCUGGGCUUUGUGAUGAUGUCACCGCUGGUGGUGGUGGCGGCGGCCAUCUUCUGUGGGCUGCUCCGGAGGCUGCGACUCCUGCUGCUGUUUCAGCCAAUAACAGGUGCAUGGUACCAUGGACGGGGCUUGGACUGGGGGGGUGAUGUCCGUGCCUGGGUCUGAUUGGACCAACGCUCGAAUAAACCAGUGUUCAAAGAGUUCAAUAGGUUAACAGUCAAGAGAGAAUCGAGUCCUGGAGAAUCGCAGUGUCAAAUCUAUUUAGUGUCCUAUUAAACUGUAAUGAAUGUCAUACAAUCGAAUGGAUACAAUGUGAACCAGUCCAAUUGUUUAAAGACAGAGCUUUACAUGUGGCUAUAGGGCUGUUGCUGGUCAGAAGGAAACAGUGGAGGUAAGGGUGGAACAUGCUAGCAGCUCUUCUCUGUGGAUUUUUAUUGGUUAUGUAUCUUGAUCUAUUUUCAAUUAUCUGCUAACUUAUAUGGUUGUGAAUCUUGAUGCAGCAGAAAAAUGUAACUGUCACUCAAAUGUCUAGAAUGGAAGGAAAAACAAGCUUACUUAUUUAGCAGAUUUUGUUCAUUCUAUUGAUUUCAUUAUAUUCACCAUCUUGUAAAAGUGCCAUGUAAGCUACCUCAAUGUAAGUAUAGUUCCUAAAAGUAGCCUAGGUUGCUCUACAUCAGUCAUGUGUGAACGGGACGAGACACAAUUAUAGCCUUUUCUUUUUCUGUUGUGUUUGUUCUUUUGUUUAGUAUAUUGGCAUAUUUUCUUGCGAAAAAUCAUUCUGAUGUGUUUUAACAGAGCCGUCAUUACUCAUUUUGUACUUAUCAGAUCCUACCAACGUUACAUUUCUAUGUACCUCGUAAUUGACUUAUAUGUAAACACAUUACUGGUAAUUCCCCUUAAUUGCGGCCACCGUAAAAGGAAUUGGAGCUGAAAUGCCAAGUCUUUGAUCCGUCUAUCUGUAGGUAUUUUUCUAAUGGCUGAUAACGUCUCCAAGGAUUGAAAUAACACAUAGUAGAGGCUAAUGGUGAGGACACUUAGUUCAAAUAGAUAUACAGUUUUAAAUCCAUGGACAUUUCACUGUCAUUAUCUCACAUAGAUCUUUAUAUGAUGUGUGGUAUGAUUCAUAUCAGAUAAUGCCUAGACAUUCCUCAAUCUUUUCCUGGGAGACAGUGUGGUUCUAUGUGAUAUUACUUAAUAGAGUGCCUCUCUUCCUACCAACAUGGUCUACUACUUUGAAAGCAUUACUCAAUAGUAUGUUAAUCGCUGUUUAUCAUAUUUUUUUUCAAUUUAACCUUUAACUAGGCAAGUCAAUUAAGAACAAAUUCUUAUUUACAAGGACGGCCUGCACCGGCCAAACCCGGACGACACUGGGCCAAAUGUGUGCCGCCUUAUGGGACUCCCAAUCACGGCCGGUUGUGAUACAGCCUGAUCAUUUGAGAUCUAAAGACGUUACUCAUGGAAAGACGGCAUCCAGUAGUCAUGUUGUUGUCUGAGGCAGACACACAUUUACACAGUGUAUAGAGCAUAAGCACCCAAACAAAAAUCCCCACCUCAUAAUUUAGCUAUACAUUUGAAUCAACUUAAAUUAUUACUUGAAGUGAAUUGAACUCAAUAGACUCUACUUCUUGAACUAUGAACUACUGUAUAUCAGAACAGUUGAUGGUUGUAGCCUAUCCACAUUCUGUAAAUGUAUGUUAUUGAAGAAUAAACCUGUUGACAUAC